rnacentral:lncRNA from 1 species
UGGGCAGCAUUCUUUAUUUAGGUGUAGUCUGUUUCUAUGAUUUCUGUGCGCAAGGUUUGGCAGGAUGAUUCCAACAUCAAGUUUCUAAGCAGAUGAGAGAUAUGAUAGUUUAUUGGUGCUGCAUAAACACAACACAAUGUUGAAAAAUGGACGAAGAAGAAGAUUGAAGCUUAGUCUUUUAAUUGUGUUUUUUUGUCCUAGAGUUUUCUUUCUUGUGUUUUUGAGC